rnacentral:rRNA from 1 species
AACGAACGCUGGCGGCAUGCCUAAUACAUGCAAGUCGAACGAGACCUUCGGGUCUAGUGGCGCACGGGUGCGUAACGCGUGGGAAUCUGCCCUUGGGUUCGGAAUAACUUCGGGAAACUGAAGCUAAUACCGGAUGAUGACGAAAGUCCAAAGAUUUAUCGCCCAGGGAUGAGCCCGCGUAGGAUUAGCUAGUUGGUGGGGUAAAGGCUCACCAAGGCAACGAUCCUUAGCUGGUCUGAGAGGAUGAUCAGCCACACUGGGACUGAGACACGGCCCAGACUCCUACGGGAGGCAGCAGUAGGGAAUAUUGGACAAUGGGCGAAAGCCUGAUCCAGCAAUGCCGCGUGAGUGAUGAAGGCCUUAGGGUUGUAAAGCUCUUUUGCAGGAGGGUAAAGUGAGCUACGUGUAGUUCAUUGCAAGUACCCUGCGAAUAAGCAUCGGCUAACUCCGUG